GGGCCUGUGGCGCAGUUGGGAGCGCGCUUCCAUGGCCUGGAAGAGGUCAAGGGUUCGAAUCCCUUCAGGUCCACCA
rnacentral:tRNA from 1 species